ACUCCUGCGGGAGGCAGCAGUGGGGAAUUUUGGACAAUGGGCGAAAGCCUGAUCCAGCAAUGCCGCGUGAGUGAAGAAGGCCUUCGGGUUGUAAAGCUCUUUUGUCAGGGAAGAAACGGUGAAAGCUAAUAUCUUUUGCUAAUGACGGUACCUGAAGAAUAAGCACCGGCUAACUACGUGCCAGCAGCCGCGGUAAUACGUAGGGUGCAAGCGUUAAUCGGAAUUACUGGGCGUAAAGCGUGCGCAGGCGGUUUUGUAAGUCUGAUGUGAAAUCCCCGGGCUCAACCUGGGGAUUGCAUUGGAGACUGCAAGGCUAGAAUCUGGCAGAGGGGGGUAGAAUUCCACGUGUAGCAGUGAAAUGCGUAGAUAUGUGGAGGAACACCGAUGGCGAAGGCAGCCCCCUGGGUCAAGAUUGACGCUCAUGCACGAAAGCGUGGGGAGCAAACAGGAUUAGAAACCCUGGUAGUCCCAUGAU
rnacentral:rRNA from 1 species